CUAAAGGUCUGGAAAAAGAGAGUGACGAGCAGAGGGGGGAAAACAGAGAACACACAAAAGGGGAAGGCAAAACAGUAAAAUCUCCCACUAAUUUCAGCCUGAGACUAGCUUAAAAUUGUCCCUAUAUUCACCCCAAACCACCAUGAAAACUCAGCCAUAAAACCAUUAAAAAUCAAUCCAUCGACCAUUGUCGAAGCCAGCAGUUUCGGCCAUGAAAAUCUGCUCCGAAUAGCCAAAAAAUGCAGCUGAAACAGCUGCAAAAACAGUCGUGAGACAGCACAUGUUUCAGUCACGUAAAACCAGGCUUAUACCAUCGCAAAAACGCCCCAAACCAGUGCGAAAAUCAGCUUGAAACCACCGUCACUACAACAAAUUUGAUUUAUAGCGACAAAUAUUUUUGUCACUAAAAGGCUUUAUUUCGUCACUAAAUGUCUUUUAUGACCAAAUGUUUUUCGUCAAUUCUUUAUAGCCAUAAAUAGGUCACUAAAAGUUUUCAUUGACGAUUUAGUGGUUCGUCGCUAAAUGACGUUACAUUAGCGACAAAUUUGUUAUUUCGUCCCCAAAUAUAUUGAAUCGAUGACGAACUUGUUUGUUAGAAAAAGUUCAACUUUUUUGUAGUAGAAAAUAACUUUCGUCACUAAAUAAAUUCUUAAUACCAACAAAACAAAUUUGUCACUAAUUUUUUUAUUUUGAUUAGUGACAAUUCUAAUUGUCUCUAAAGUGGUAUCUAAUUUAUAGUUGAAAAAUGUGAUUUUGUCACGAAGAUAUGCAAAUUUUAAGAAAAAGAUUAUCAUUUGUACACAAAAACGUUUUCGUCCCUAAAUGUAUAGAAUUAAAGACAAAUUUGUUUGUCUAGAGAACUGUAACGAUUUGUGACUGGAAGGUAUUUGGCGAUGAUUAUAUAUGUUUUCGUACUAUUUGUAAUUUUUAAGAUAAAUGGAUUAUUUUAAUAUUUAGAAUUUAUAAAUAAUAAUGAAUAUUCUAUAAUUGAAUAUAAUACAUUUUUUGCAAAUUUUAAUGUUUAUCGAACAAAUUGUUAAAAAAUGCAGAAUCUUUAUUUCUCAUAGGAUUAGUUACAAUAUUUGGGAUUAUGGGAAUACAAAGAUGAGGAUAAAAAAUAUAUACACAAAAACAUGAGUAGAGGAGUAAAAAACAUGACAUUUACACUGUAUAUUACAAAGAUUUCAGUCUCAAAUCCCCAACUAACACUUAAUACAUUCACCAUUUCUCAAUUGAAAGAAAAAUACUCAGCUUUUGCUUUAACCAACCCAAUUUCAAAAUCUUUUGAUUCUUGACUGCAUAGUUUCUUUUUCUGUUUGCCACAGAUCUCUUCUUGCUUAGCUCUGUCUCUCGCCCAUGUUUUGGCUUGAAGAGCCUCAUAUCGGUGAAGGCAUGACCUUGUUUGUCAGAGAAAAAAGAUAGGGAAAGACAUGACAUCAACAGAAAAACAUAGAAGAUUAACGAGUUUAAAUAAAAAGAGAAGAAAGACAAACCUAUAGAUCUUUCGUGAAACCGUCAAUGAUAGCAGAGUUUUGAAGAAACAGAGCCACUUUUUCAUGAGAGAGAAGUCGGGAGAUGUGAAACUGUAAAUCAGUCUACAGUUUCAUAUUCGUAAGUUUAGGGAUCUUAACAAGAAAAUGAGCCGAUUAUUUCGUCCACUUUGUUAUGCUAGUUAUUCUUACUUAUGCAUUUCUAUUUAUUUGACGAAAACAAAUUUAAAUUGGUAAAAGAAUCAAAAGAGAACUACAUAAAGUUAAAAAAUCAUUUUUCAAAUUCUAUUCAAAAUUAUACGCUAAGGCCGAAAUCUCUAUAUUUUGCAAGAAGCCUUAGAACAAUACUUUUAUGUAAUUCCCUUUUAAAAUUCUUUUAAUUUUAAGAAAAUCAAACAUUAUG
rnacentral:lncRNA from 1 species